AUGAAUGUCCUUGCCUGGAACUGUCGUGGCUUGGAGUUGGACUUGGCAGUUGGCAAACUUCGUAACCUGAUUAGGUCCGACAACCCAGCGGUGGUAUUUCUGAGCGAAACAACGAAAAGUGUAAGGGCGAUGGAGAAACUGAAGUGGAGUUUGGGUUUCAGGAGUGGGGUGGCAGUGAGCUGUGUGGGUAGAAGUGGUGGUCUUGCGUUGUGGUGGAGAGAACAUGUGCAAGUAACUAUUAGGCCAUGGUGCCAAUACUUUCUGGAUGCGGAAUUGGUGGUGGAGGGAAAAUCUCUUAGGAUCACUGGAUUCUAUAGGGAACCAGACACCGAAAAAAGGAAGAAGUCAUGGGAUGCUUUGAGGUACUUGCGGAUACAAGACAAUCUCCCUUGGCUCUGUGUGGGAGACUUCAACGAGGCCAUGUUCCAAUCCGAUCAACAAGGGGGAAAUAAGCGGAGUCUCAGGCAAAUGGAGGCAUUCAGAGAUUGCUUAGCGGAAUGUGGCCUAGCUAACUUGGGCUUCUCUGGAUAUAGAUAUAAUAAUAGGAGAGAUGGAGAUGCAAAUGUGUAG
rnacentral:rRNA from 1 species